rnacentral:rRNA from 1 species
GUGAGGAAUAUUGGUCAAUGGGCGAGAGCCUGAACCAGCCAAGUAGCGUGAGGGAUGACUGCCCUAUGGGUUGUAAACCUCUUUUGCAGGGGGGUAAAGUGGUUCACGUGUGGACCAUUGCAAGUACCCUGCGAAUAAGGAUCGGCUAACUCCGUGCCAGCAGCCGCGGUAAUACGGAGGAUCCGAGCGUUAUCCGGAUUUAUUGGGUUUAAAGGGAGCGUAGGCGGGGGUUUAAGUCAGCUGUGAAAUGCCGUGGCCCAACCAUGGAACUGCAGUUGGAACUGGACCUCUUGAGAGUACAAGAGGAAGGCGGAAUUCGUGGUGUAGCGGUGAAAUGCAUAGAUAUCACGAAGAACUCCGAUUGCGAAGGCAGCUUUCCGGGGUACAACUGACGCUGAAGCUCGAAAGUGCGGGAAUCAAACAGGAUUAGAUACCCCGGUAGUCC